CCUACGGGUGGCAGCAGUGGGGAAUAUUGGGCAAUGGGCGCAAGCCUGACCCAGCAACGCCGCGUGAAGGAAGAAGGCUCUCGGGUUGUAAACUUCUUUUCUGAGGGACGAAGAAAGUGACGGUACCUCAGGAAUAAGCCACGGCUAACUACGUGCCAGCAGCCGCGGUAAUACGUAGGUGGCAAGCGUUAUCCGGAUUUAUUGGGUGUAAAGGGCGUGUAGGCGGGAAUGCAAGUCAGAUGUGAAAACUCAGGGCUCAACCCUGGGCCUGCAUUUGAAACUGUUGUUCUUGAGUGAUGGAGAGGCAAUCGGAAUUCCGUGUGUAGCGGUGAAAUGCGUAGAUAUACGGAGGAACACCAGUGGCGAAGGCGGAUUGCUGGACAUUAACUGACGCUGAGGCGCGAAAGCGUGGGGAGCAAACAGGAUUAGAUACCCCAGUAGUC
rnacentral:rRNA from 1 species